AUACAGGGUGACAGCCCCGUACACAAAAAUGCACAUAUUGUGAGCUCGAUGAGUAGGGCGGGACACGUGGUAUCCUGUCUGAAUAUGGGGGGACCAUCCUCCAAGGCUAAAUACUCCUGACUGACCGAUAGUGAACCAGUACCGUGAGGGAAAGGCGAAAAGAACCCCGGCGAGGGGAGUGAAAAAGAACCUGAAACCGUGUACGUACAAGCAGUGGGAGCACGCUUAGGCGUGUGACUGCGUACCUUUUGUAUAAUGGGUCAGCGACUUAUAUUCUGUAGCAAGGUUAACCGAAUAGGGGAGCCGAAGGGAAACCGAGUCUUAACUGGGCGUUAAGUUGCAGGGUAUAGACCCGAAACCCGGUGAUCUAGCCAUGGGCAGGUUGAAGGUUGGGUAACACUAACUGGAGGACCGAACCGACUAAUGUUGAAAAAUUAGCGGAUGACUUGUGGCUGGGGGUGAAAGGCCAAUCAAACCGGGAGAUAGCUGGUUCUCCCCGAAAGCUAUUUAGGUAGCGCCUCGUGAAUUCAUCUCCGGGGGUAGAGCACUGUUUCGGCAAGGGGGUCAUCCCGACUUACCAACCCGAUGCAAACUGCGAAUACCGGAGAAUGUUAUCACGGGAGACACACGGCGGGUGCUAACGUCCGUCGUGAAGAGGGAAACAACCCAGACCGCCAGCUAAGGUCCCAAAGUCAUGGUUAAGUGGGAAACGAUGUGGGAAGGCCCAGACAGCCAGGAUGUUGGCUUAGAAGCAGCCAUCAUUUAAAGAAAGCGUAAUAGCUCACUGGUCGAGUCGGCCUGCGCGGAAGAUGUAACGGGGCUAAACCAUGCAC
rnacentral:rRNA from 1 species